AUUAUGGGAACUUCUAGAGUCCUGGACUUCUCAAAAUAAUUGGAUGGCAAUCUUCUUUAUAAUUUUCCUGGGAAUUAUUUUUGAGAUCAUACUCUUAAAGAUUUGUAUGUCCUUUCAGAAGAAGCCUGCACUUCCUUCAGAAAAGGAUAAGUCAGAUGUCCACAAGAAAGAAGACAAUGGAAGUUGCCUGACAAGCAUGAAAUUUGAUCAUUGGUCAGCUAUUUCAUCCUCAGAAGCAAGAGUUGAUAACUAUUCAGAGAGAACAAUUGCUUCAUCAAUUACAUCUGAAGGAAAUGAAGAGUACUUUGAAGACAGCGUUCCACCACCAGAUGAACCACCACGGGCAAGUACCAGUGAAAGUAGAUUUCGAGUAAGUCACUUUAGUGAAAGUCAUAUGACAUCUUCAAAUGGGACUAGAUCAUCAUCUUUGUCACUAUUUCAUUCGGAAGUACAGGAAAUUUUGCUAAGGUGUAGCGGGUGCCCUAAAAAUGAACAUGAAACAAUACAGUUUUCAUCAAAGAAAUUAUUUUCCAUAAUGAAAAGUAACAAAAGUAAAAAUAGGACAUUUUCUUCUGACUUUAACUUUUCAAGAACUUCAAGAAUCAUUAUAGAAAGUGAAGAUCUAGAUGUGGCACCAUGCCCUCCUGCCCAUCUGUUUCUUUCUAGAGACCAAGUCAGACUUCUGGAAGAAAAUGUGAGAAAUCAAAGCGCUCCAAAAUCCAAAGCCACAUUAGAGAAUAAAACUACCUCUCUGUACUCAAUCUCUCUAGAGCCCUUGAUUCAGAAUCAACAUUCUGCUACAAUGGACCCUUCUCCCCAAGCACAAGCUUCUUUUUCCAGACAAAAGGCUACUCAGAGUCAAGGAUUUUCCAAAGCCCAAUUUACUGGUAAAGCCCAGCAAUUUUUUAACAAUCAGGCAUCAGUCAACAGGCAGCCUGAGAGUGAGGCCAGAUACUUUGCUCUGCCUCAAGAUUUGGUGAGGGAACCACUUACUAGCAGCACCCAAGACUCCUUCCAGACCGCAGACAUGGAUAGGUGCCAACAUCUGGUCCAAGUUCCACAGUCUAUUGAGACUCAAGAUUCAGUCAAGGGCCUAGGGUCUGAUACAAAACACUCAUAUGAGACCCAGGAUUCUGUCUGGUCUGAAGAGUCAAACAAGAGUAAAUACUUUAUCCCAGGGCAAAACACUAUUUUAAAGGAUGCCAGACAUCUGGUUAUACCUCCGAGCCCAAAUUCAGUUGAUAAAGUGAUGCCACAACUAGAGCAUGUUAAGAGUGAGGGCCAGAAACAAAUUGCUUCCUCAACAUUAAACCAGUCUCCGGCAUAUGGCUCGCUGCCUCUCAUGACCAGGCAGAAAAACAGAAGAAAAACAUCACGCAGUAAAAGUGAACUUAGCCUCAAAGAUCCACCUCAGAAGUCAAAGAAAACACCAGCUUCACAGGUAUUUCAGACCACAGCAUGUCAUACUUCAGAGUGCAGCCAGUUAAGAUAUGAACAUAAAACUAAGAAGAAAGAGUUACAUCAAAGAAAAGGUUUAUCAGGUAUAGCGUUGCAUUUUACAUAUGCUUUCAAGCUUGUCCCUCCUUAUAUUAGGAAGUAUUACAGAAAAAGACAAGCAAAAUUCACUCCAGGUUUAACAGAAUGUAGAGAUUUUCUGCCUAAACCAGAUCAGUCACUAUGUGCAGAGAAAGUUAAUUACAUAGGGUCUGUUGAGGAAGAAAGAACCAUGGGGAGUACUGAAAAUGAAGAGCAGCAUGGCAGAAACAAUAAAGAACUAGAAAACAUUUCACAAGAAAUUCCAUCUCAGCUAGAACAGUCUUUCAUGGUCAAUACUUAUCAACAGAAAGCACCUUGUCCUUCAUUAACAGAAACAAACUGGAUGAAUAGAGAGUCUCUUGAAGAUCCAAAGGAAAUGGAUAUUGCAGAGUCUUGUGCCCCAGAUAGCGAAACAACAUCUGACCUGCCUGUGGCAAGGCAAGAGACACCUUUAGAAGAAGCCAUAUCAGAACCUUUGCAGAAAUGUGUUUCCUCUCCCCAGAUGGAGUCAGACAGAAACAUGAAAACAUGGGAGGACCUACAAGGUACAGAGAAUUCAAAUCCUGCCCUUUCAAGCAGAGAGGAGUUAUCAACGAGUAUAUCAGAAAUGCAAAGGUGCUUCUCACGGGGGAAUACAGACAGAAAAGAUCUUGAAAUUGUUCUGGAGUCUUCUGAUGUCAACUUGUUCGUUCCCCUAGGAACCGAAAAGCAUAAAAGCAGUGGACAACCAACAGGUGUAGAAAUUCAGGAGAGGCCAGAAGAUGUAACUGAGAAGGAAAAAAAUGCAUUAAGAGCUCACGUGAUGGAAGAAGAUGACAUAAGUGCAAGUGAGGAACUCGAAAGCAACACUAGAAGCAACAUUAACAAUAUGCAAGAUGAAAGAAUAUCUGCUGCGUUUCACGAAGCCACUCACACUGCCCUUUCUUUACCACCUCAUAUGAAAAUGCAGAGUGGAUUAAAAACCAAGAUGGAUACAUCAGAAAUAGGACUUAGUUUUUCAGCAGUAAAGCCAGACAAAAUACCAGAUGACAGGAAAAUGUAUUUUUCCUUUGAGAAGAACUGUCUAGUUAAAAAACCACAAGAAGACAACAGAGAGGAAGAACAGGCUCCACAAGAAGCAGCUUUGCAGCAAACGCCAGGCUUCAGGCUCAGCCCACGACUACAGCAGAAGCCCACGUAUAUCAAACUGGAACCAGGACAGAGUAGUUCAAAAGGUCAAACCACUCAAAAUAAAGACCUCGAUGUUUACCCACAAACUCUCUCUACAGAGACGACUAUGGAGACUAACCCACGCCCCAUGAUGGAUCCAUUUCAAGUUGAGGUGAAGCAAAGCACAGACAGAGCUACAGGCAGGGAAACUGCAGACCCAGUGCAUCCUCUCACCAUGUUCGAGAGCUUGCCAGUUUUAACUGAAUCAACAGAAUGUGGUGUCCCUUUGGGUGGAAGCCCUGAGAAGUUCCUGGAUGCUCAGAUUGCAGAAGAAAAGCAGGACUUAGAAGGAGUUUUACCUGAAGUUGCCCUGGGGUCUUUCCAUAGGCAUACGCCUCCAUUAUCAAAUUUGAAAAGGAAGAAAAUCAGAAAAAAAAUACCAGGAACCACAAAUGUACUUGGUUUCAAAUGUGUAAUUAUGAAAGUAAAAAAGCCACCAAAAUGUCACAGAAGAUUAAGAAGCAAUUUCAAAAUCAUGAUUAAACACAUACUUCAAGAUAAAACGAUGGCAGAUAUGCUUCUGAAUGUUACUGACCCUUGUCUGUCUAUUUUGCCCCAUGUUAGAAUGCACAGCAGAUUAAAUGUAAGGAAUCACAGUCAUACCGAACUAAAACGAGAGACAUCAGAAGCUGAAAGAGAAGAAGACUAUUUAGAUAUUAAUAAAGGAAGUGACUCUGGAAACACACUAGAAGCAGCUGGGUUGCAGGAGGAAGUGAGUGGGGAUCAGGAAGCUUCACCAGAAGCAGUCCUUGAGGAUCACUGGAACCUCAGAUCGGAUGAAGAUCCAGAGAAAGAGCUCAAAUCCAUGAAAGAAAUGCAACAACCUAUCACAUUUGCAAAAAUCAUGGCAGAGUCUAUUCACAUGGCCACAACAGGUCCAGUUCAUGUUGAAAAUAUGGAGAAAAGCCUGAUAGCACCCACAGAUUUAAGACGCACUGAAGAUGAUUCUGAGAUAUCUCCUCCCACAUCAGAAAAAUCACUGAUUGGAGACCCUUUAAACCAAACAAGAGAAAGUGAUGUACCAGAUGAUGGAAGUGAUACCAGGGAAACAGGUUACUGUUUUGCAGCAAUGAAGGCAGAACGACCCGAAGAUUUACCAGCAGUGUUCCCAAAGACUUUUAAUUACCACAUGCCUGUCUUAUCUCAUUCUAAAGUGAAGAAAACUAGAGUAAGAUUUUCACACAUAGAAUGUAGAGUGAACUCCAAGUCUGUACCUAUGAAGGCAUUGAAGCCGUCCAUUUCACAAAUGUGUGAUAUCACAGGUCAUCAAAGAAAGAAACUGGAAUCUGACUUUAAGGCCAAGUUUGAAAAGAUCGGCCAAGCUAAUGGACUGGAAUAUGAAUUUCUAAACACCCUUUACUGUCCUGUGCAUAGCAGGUUACAAGGGGAGACAAAGAGCUUCUGCCGUGUUCAAGCAAAGCUCCGGGGUCUAGCCGUUGAAGAAAGACCACUGUAUGUUGAUUUUUUUGAUGAGAGUAAUGCACUCUGUGACGGAGAAGAAAAAGGACAAGAUGUAGAGGAAAAGGAGCAAAAGACUUUGCUAAUAACGGCUCCACAGCAUACCCAGUACCUCUGGAUCAAUGGAUGUCGAGGAAAGGAGACUCACUUUGCCAAACCAGAUGCAGGCCUACACUGUUUAACACAGGAGCAAGAUAAACAGCACCAAACAUGCUUUAAAGAAGCUGCUUUGCAGACUGAUGUCCAGAUGGGUCCUCAAGAAGCUAAGGAACUCCUGAAGACCAACAAACCAGAAGAUGAUCUAACAGCCCCUGAGGGUCUGGAGGUUCUACCUCCCGAAGCAGGGAACUCAUCACCUGUGAAACUUUUGAACAUUCCAACAGAGAGUGGUGUAGCCUCUGGUGGAAACCUCACAAGGGAACGAGGUUCUUAUUCUGUGGAUAAAAAUUCAGCAUUACCAGAAAGUUUGCAAGUGACCUUCCUGCAGUAUUCUGAUUCCAUUGACACCUCCAUUUCUAAAUCUCAAAGACAGAAAAACACACUAAAACUGUCAAGAAAGCAAACAGUGAGUCGUAGAUACAGAGCUAUGAGAGAACAAAACCUAUCCACUCUGCGUAUGCUCCCUGGCAGGCAGAGAAAGGCAUUGCAAUGCAAUUUUCAAAUGAAGAAUUUACAGCAAAAUAAAAACAAAGGAGAUGUGUGUUCACCUGUCAUUCUCUCCAGGGUGCCUGUUUUGCUAAACACCAAAAUGAACAUCGGAUUAAAUAUGGAGACAGAUACACAAAGGAUAACAAGACUCGAUCAUACGCAAAUGCAAGAGAAAUCACCCAAUGAAAGAAAAGUAUGUCGCCCAGCUUCUAUCGAUAUGAGUAGUUUACCUAACAGUGUGAAAGACAGGAAGGAGGAGGGUGCAGGGGAACAAGAUUUACCAAUUCCAGAGAGUGGCCAAAGCUUCAUACUCAGUAUAUAUCAGGAGGAAGAUCAUGACCUUAUCAAAUCAGAUGAGGGGCAGAAACAGAUAGGAAGUAUAAAUAUCCAGGUACAACCACAAACACAUUUUGCAGAGCGUAUUUUGAGCUCUGCUUCAUGCCCAACAUUGGAUCCAUUUCCACUGAGAAAGCUAGAGAGCGAUGCUAGGUUUUUUCCUCCAACAUCAGGAGAAGCAAAGUUUGAUGAAAAAAUAUUUUCUGCAAGAGAAGGUGGUGUUGCAUCUGAGGCAAACCAUCAAAAGGAACAAGCUGGUGGUCCUGAAAAGGAAGAGAAAGUGACUUUAGAUUUCUGCAUGGCUGCUUUAUCUCUAUCCAAAGGCAAGAGAAACUUCAAACAAUAUUCAGACACGAAAAUCCUGAUGAACCCCAAAGAUGGAAUUUUAAAAGCAAAGAAACCACCCAUUUCACACAUGCUCAAUAUCAAGGGUGGUGCUAGACGAAAUCGCAGGAAAGAACUGGGAUAUAACUUGACCACCAAAAUGGGACAGGUGGGUCAGGGCACAAAAAUGGCAGACGGCAGGGACUCCCUCCUGAACAUCAUCCCUGCCAUUAAUAGGUAUAGUGACCGAGAAGGGCAAAAAGACAUGUUAGGAGAAAAAAGACUCAGUUCUGAGCAAGUAAAGCAAAAUAUACCCCCACACGAAGGGAAUGUGACUCCAGAUGACCCCGAAGAAGGUGAUCUUCAAAAUGAAGAAAGUGAACAGGAGAUGUUACUAAAAGUAAUUUCACAGCACAGCCAACAUUUCAUACUCUGUUCAGACCAGACGAAGGAGCUUGAGCUUCACAAACCAGGAAACAAAGGAUGUGGGGAAACUCUGUUUUCUACCAAACAGGACAUCCCCCAGCACAUACAGCCUGAAGAUCCAGUGCAGACAACACAGCCAAAGAGAAGCCAGCAGACACAAAACGGCACAAUGUGGUCAGCGAGUUCAAACCUUCCUCUUCUAAAGUCGAACGAAUCACUAACCGGUCAAGUUGUAAUUGAUACAGUGAAAUGUGACAUCCAAAGUGAUGAGAGCUGCACAGGAGAACUGGAUGAUCAUGGUAAAGAGGAAAAGUCAGAGUUUAAAAAAUAUCUACAAGCACCUGUCCCUGAGUCUUCAGCUACUGCCACACCUGAUCCCCCUGAACCUAAACAGGGGAGAAAGACAUUUACAUGUAGAGCCUUAAGA
ensembl:lncRNA